rnacentral:misc_RNA from 1 species
AUCGCGGAUUCUUCGCCAAAGUACGAUUUAGGUAUCUUUGGGCCGAAAUUAUGUCCGUCAAUGAUCUUCACGAUUCAACUCUAUCUCAUCUAAGGAUAUUUGAUAUUUUAUAACAAAAUACUUCGAUCAAUUUAAUUUCAUUACAAAGCAAAUUUAGAUAUAUCUUCUGUGAGCAUAUACAUAUAUUUAUUUCUUGUUUACUUUGUACUUUGUACAAUGCAUUCAUGACAGAAAUGUGUUUGUUUAACUUUUGACCUUCCAACAGCAUAGAUAGGGAAUACUGAUAGAAAUAAAUUGGCAUGCAGCAGAACUCUCAGCAUACCGAACAUGACUUGUUUAUAAAAAGGAGCAACAGAAAUGCCUCGCAGUCUAAAUCAAAAAUAUAUCAAAGACAAUGUGAU